rnacentral:rRNA from 1 species
UACGUAGGGGGCUAGCGUUGUCCGGAAUCAUUGGGCGUAAAGCGCGCGUAGGCGGCCAGAUAAGUCCGGUGUGAAAGUCAAAGGCUCAACCUUUGAAUGCCGCUGGAAACUGUCUGGCUUGAGUCCGGAAGGGGCGAGUGGAAUUCCUGGUGUAGCGGUGAAAUGCGCAGAUAUUAGGAGGAACACCAAUGGCGAAGGCAGC